GUGGGGAAUCUUGCACAAUGGGCGAAAGCCUGAUGCAGCGACGCCGCGUGCGGGAUGAAGGCCUUCGGGUUGUAAACCGCUUUCAGCAGGGACGAGGCCGCAAGGUGACGGUACCUGCAGAAGAAGCCCCGGCUAACUACGUGCCAGCAGCCGCGGUAAUACGUAGGGGGCAAGCGUUAUCCGGAUUCAUUGGGCGUAAAGAGCUCGUAGGCGGCCCGUUAGGUCAGGAGUCAAAUUCGGGGGCUCAACCCCCGCGCGCUCCUGAUACCGGCGGGCUUGAGUUUGGUAGGGGAAGGUGGAAUUCCCAGUGUAGCGGUGGAAUGCGCAGAUAUUGGGAAGAACACCGGUGGCGAAGGCGGCCUUCUGGGCCAUAACUGACGCUGAGGAGCGAAAGCUAGGGGAGCGAACAGGAUUAGAUACCCUGGUAGUCC
rnacentral:rRNA from 1 species